ensembl:snRNA U1 U1 spliceosomal RNA
AAACGUUCUCAGCAGCGUUUCGCUUUGAGUCCAGGUACGAUUAAUCAUAACCAGAGCCAGGCUUAUCCAUUGCACUGCGCAUGUUGACCAUUGUGAUUUCCCCAAGUGUAGGAAACGCAAGUGCAUAAUUCACGGUAGUGGGGGACUGCGUUUGUGCUCUCCUGUU